GUUCAAACAUCGGUUCCCGUACAAUCAACGAAGUUAAGCAACGCCGACCCUGGUUAGUACCUAGAUGGGUAACCUCUUGCAAAUACCAAGUGCUGUAAU